AUUAUUUUCUCUCGCUCGUUUUCCUUUUCAUGUUUUUAUGGAUUUAUGUUGGUCGCGCGGUCUGUUGGCCAUUAGCUUGGUAACAGGUAACACCCGGCCCUGCGACCAAAAGACUAAUGCCAAUACCGGGCUCAGAACCAUAACCACUAACAUCCACAUCCACAUCCAUCCCGAGUCCAAGCUGGCAGGUAGGUAGGUAGCGCUGAAAUCGAUUUCGGACGCCCCCGGACCGCUUCCCAUGUCCAAGUGUCAGCCGGUGCUGGGUUUUAUUCUCUGGACCGACACUGAGAGAAAUCGGUUUAGGUCUCUGGAUACCUGU
ensembl:ncRNA lncRNA:CR44719 long non-coding RNA:CR44719